GAUGAACGCUGGCGGCGUGCCUAAUACAUGCAAGUCGAACGAGGUGCUUUUGUAGCAAUACGAGAGUAUCCUAGUGGCGAACGGGUGAGUAACGCGUGGAUGACCUGCCCCAAAGUGUGGGAUAACAGUCCGAAAGGAUUGCUAAUACCUCAUGUGGUUAUCGGUUUUAGAAAGCGAUAACUAAAGCAGCAAUGCGCUUUGGGAGGGAUCUGCGUCCCAUCAGCUAGUUGGUGAGGUAACGGCUCACCAAGGCGACGACGGGUAGGGGACCUGAGAGGGUGGCCCCCCACAAUGGAACUGAAACACGGUCCAUACACCUACGGGUGGCAGCAGUAGGGAAUAUUGCUCAAUGGGCGAAAGACCUGAAGCAGCAACGCCGCGUGUGCGAUGAAGGCCU
rnacentral:rRNA from 1 species